GGCCCUUGGCGGCCGUAAGCCGGCGGUCGCCCGGGCUCCGAGGACGCUUCGCGCCCCAUCGCCUCCCAGCCUCAUUAGGCCGGCGGGGCUGUAAAGCAGGAAUCAGCCUCUGCCUAAUCCGGACCUGGGGUCAAUACGAGCCCAAACAAUGGCCUCAGCAGGUGAUGAGAAAGGCAUGAGAACAAGCUGGAAGGAGAAUGAGGCACCGAGAGGCCCAAGCUGAAAGAAAUAAAGACUUCCAGUACAUCACCCUGACAGUAAAGAGCAAAGGAAAAGUGACGUCUGCUACACAGCUUUAAGAGAGUGCUGGGUACCUGAAGGCCGGCUCCUACUGGGACUAAUUCCAUCCAGACAGCUCCAAAAGGAUCAUUUGUUCAACUCAGCCACUGUGCUGUGAAAAAUGCCAACAUUUCCAAUGAAGAGACCACAUGGAGAAACAUGUAGAGAGGAACCAAGGCCCUUAGCUGAUAGCCAGCAUUAGGCAUCAAGCAUGUGAAUGAAUGAACCUUCAGAUGAUUCCUGCUCUCUGUCAGUGAGUCUUCCACUUGUGACCCCAGACAUGGUAGAGGAGAUACAAGCCGUCUUCACUGUGCCUGUUUGGAUUCCUGAGUCACAGAAACUGUGAAAGAUAAGUGAGUAUUGUUGCUUUAAGCCACUAUGUUUUGUGGUAAUUUGUUACUCAGUGAUAGAUAAUGAAUACACUUGGUAGACUGGAAUAGUGACUUGUAAUAUAUUUUUAAAAAAAUCAUAGAUUCAUUAGAAAAUUUGAUGAAAACUAAAGUGACCUCCAUGACCCCCAUAUUCUGGUGUUCAUACCCAUGUAUAAUCUCCUUCUCUUAGGUGUGGGCAGGACAUUUGGCUUGUUUAUAACCAAUAGAAUAUGGCAAAAGCUUUGAGCUGUCACUUCAGUGAUUAUGUUACCUUAUAUAAGACUUUCUCUUGCUAGCAGACUCACUCUAGGGUCUUGCUUUCCUGGUUGGUUUUGAUGAACCAAGCUGCCAUGAAUCUUACAACCACAAGGAAAUGAAUUCUGCCAACAGCCAGAGUGAACUUGUAAGCAGACCCCAGUUGAGCCUGACGAUGAGAACAGAGGCCUAGCUCACACUUUGAUGGCAGUGUCACAGAGAAAAUUGCUAAGCCAUGCAUAGACUUACUGAACCACAUAAACUGUGAGAUAAUAAAUGUAUGUGUUAUUUUAAGCCAUUACAAUUGUGCUAAUUUGUUAUACAGCAUAGAAAACUAACACAAAAGUGAUGGAUCCUCUCCAAGAAAAAUGUAGAGACUCACAUAUACAUAGAAUUCUUAUGCAAUAUUUUUGGGUGUUGCUGGACCCCUGAUUUCCAUGAAUGGUGCCUAGUUUAAGAACCACUGCUCUAGAAUGUUUGUCCUGCAGUAACAUGCAGAAGAGUGCAAUGCCUAGAAAAUUUCCUUUGUGAUGUUUUGUAUUAAGUAUUUUAUUUACCUGCUUAAUUGUUCAAUAUCUUAUCACUGAGUAUUUUCCACUUAAAUACUUGCAGAAGAUUGAAUUUCUCUUCUGCAUCUUUGGAGGUAGAUCAUUGGAACAGCAUCAUAUUAUUUUUCCAGUCAUAGAAGUAAUCCACUCUCAGUCAGUUUCCCCACCUCCCACUCCUCUCUUUCAGGAGAAAAAACUAGGUGGAAGAUCAGCAGACAUCAGUAAACAGUAGACAAACAGGAACAGUAGGUAGAGUGAUGCUAUUGAGUUAAUUAUUGCAUGGAUACUAAUGAAUACAACUCAGUAAAUGGUUUACAUUUUUUUCUAUUUUUCAUUGGCAAGUUAAAUUUAAAAUAAAGCAAAGUUCUUUCUUUUGAUCAUA
ensembl:lncRNA novel transcript